GUCAGUUGGAAGAGUCUGCAGAGUAAAUAUGGGAGUUUCUUCAUUUCCAGACACUCUUCUUUCCACUUCCUGUGGUUCUUUUGCAGCUUGUUUUGCAGCCUGAUCAGCUAGAUGGUUGCCCUUUGCUUCAUCUGAGUCCAACUUCCCAUGUGCUUUUAUCUUCAAAAUAGCCACUUCUUCUGGGAGUAGGAGGGCGGCCAUCAGCUCCUUGAUUGCGGAACCGUGCUUGAUUG